rnacentral:rRNA from 1 species
AUGGACAUACACAUCAUGAUGGAUGAUGUGUACAUUUACCACGCGCACAAUUUCUUUGGUUUGUGUCUCUUUUGUGUAGGUACCCAUGAAUACUUGUCAACCUCGCAAUCCCACGAGUUGACAAAACGAGCUCUAGAGAGCAAUGAUGACUUGGGAUCCCAUGGAUUGUCUUUCCCACUGCUCUCUUCGCGCAAAGACUUCACAGAUUUCUUCUACAUGACCCAAACUUGGCUAUGGGUUAUUGUUCAUUACAUAUUCUAUGCCCAUCUUGCCAUGUUCACUUUGCAUGAUAUACUCAUUCCUAUGAUUUUGCCAUGCAUUUGUGACCCAUGCUUUGCAUUACACAUGAUGAUUGAUUCUAAUACUUGUAUGUGUAUUUGCAAGCUUGGUGGAGAUAUCACUUGUUAUUGCCAUAUUUGCUUUGUGCCCCAUGCCUAUGAUUAUACUAUGAUCUUGCUUUGUGUUCGUGCUUGCGAUAUGUCAUGUGCAUUGCCUAUGCCUAUUAUUUGCUCACAUGACAUGAUUUCCAUGAUUUCCUCUAGUAUGUUGCAUCUUCGCACUACUAGCUUACACGACUUGUUUCCUAUGAUUUCAUGCCUUGUUGCAUCACCGGUGACUCAUACUUGCUCACUUCAUGUGGUUGAUGACAACCAUCUACAUGCUUACCACAUGAUUAUUAUUACUUCUUGUCAUAUAUCUCCACAUGUUGCCUCUCUCAUGCUAGAUGAUUUUCCAUGUAUUGAGUGCAACUACGCCUUUAGUCUUGCUAAUGAGAUUGCCCCCAUAGCAUUCUCGCAUAUAUUUGGAGAUUCGGACCUAUUUCUUGUGAAGCAUGCUUGUCUUACCCCUUUGCACCAUAUACAUAGUGCCAUGAAUAUUGCCAUUGUUGCAUCAUAUUAUUCAUGCACUUGUGCUUCUAAUGGUUAUGUGCAAGAGAAGAGAACCAUCAUGACGGAUGAUGUGUUUAUCCACCAUGCACAUAUGUUCUUUGCUUUGUUUUGUGCAUGUGUAGGAUACUUGGACCUUCUGUCGGCUUCCGCUUCACAUGAGUUGACCAUUCGAGCUCUUGAGAGCGAGCCUCAUACAUUCGACCAUGACUCGCUUCUCCAACACCUUUGCUACCUCUUAGACAUUGUGAAGAAUGCACAAGGACACGCCUUCAAGGUGACAUCUUUCUUGAGCAUGGCUAUUGCGGAUCAUACUACUUGUGUUGCUUGCACCAUGAGACUUAUUAUUCAUCGUGAUAUAUAUGCCUUGUGUGUUGCAUCCAAUUCUUGGAUUACUUGCUCCUCUCAUAUGUUUGGUUGCAACAAUGUCAUCACUUCACAUAUGCCACGUCCCAUCAAUUGCUACAUGCUUUCCUUGAUUGCCUCACACAUGAUGAACACUUGCUCUUUCUUUUGUGUUGAGUGCCACACUAUAUUCACUACACCCCAUGCACAUUAUGCUUGGAUUGUCUUGCACUUGACCCAUGUGUUUAUACACCUCAUUCUACUUGGUGUUGUGAAUGACUCAUAUGCCUACCAAUGA